CGAUGAACCACCUUCGGGUGGGGAUUAGUGGCGAACGGGUGAGUAACACGUGGGCAAUCUGCCCUGCACUCUGGGACAAGCCCUGGAAACGGGGUCUAAUACCGGAUACUGACCUGCCAAGGCAUCUUGGCGGGUCGAAAGCUCCGGCGGUGCAGGAUGAGCCCGCGGCCUAUCAGCUUGUUGGUGAGGUAAUGGCUCACCAAGGCGACGACGGGUAGCCGGCCUGAGAGGGCGACCGGCCACACUGGGACUGAGACACGGCCCAGACUCCUACGGGAGGCAGCAGUGGGGAAUAUUGCACAAUGGGCGAAAGCCUGAUGCAGCGACGCCGCGUGAGGGAUGACGGCCUUCGGGUUGUAAACCUCUUUCAGCAGGGAAGAAGCGAAAGUGACGGUACCUGCAGAAGAAGCGCCGGCUAACUACGUGCCAGCAGCCGCGGUAAUACGUAGGGCGCAAGCGUUGUCCGGAAUUAUUGGGCGUAAAGAGCUCGUAGGCGGCUUGUCGCGUCGGUUGUGAAAGCCCGGGGCUUAACCCCGGGUCUGCAGUCGAUACGGGCAGGCUAGAGUUCGGUAGGGGAGAUCGGAAUUCCUGGUGUAGCGGUGAAAUGCGCAGAUAUCAGGAGGAACACCGGUGGCGAAGGCGGAUCUCUGGGCCGAUACU
rnacentral:rRNA from 1 species